ACGCUGGCGGCAGGCCUAACACAUGCAAGUCGAGCGGUAGAGAGAAGCUUGCUUCUCUUGAGAGCGGCGGACGGGUGAGUAAUGCCUAGGAAUCUGCCUGGUAGUGGGGGAUAACGUUCGGAAACGGACGCUAAUACCGCAUACGUCCUACGGGAGAAAGCAGGGGACCUUCGGGCCUUGCGCUAUCAGAUGAGCCUAGGUCGGAUUAGCUAGUUGGUGGGGUAAUGGCUCACCAAGGCGACGAUCCGUAACUGGUCUGAGAGGAUGGUCGGUCACACUGGAACUGAGACACGGUCCAGACUCCUACGGGAGGCAGCAGUGGGGAAUAUUGGACAAUGGGCGAAAGCCUGAUCCAGCCAUGCCGCGUGUGUGAAGAAGGUCUUCGGAUUGUAAAGCACUUUAAGUUGGGAGGAAGGGUUGUAGAUUAAUACUCUGCAAUUUUGACGUUACCGACAGAAUAAGCACCGGCUAACUCUGUGCCAGCAGCCGCGGUAAUACAGAGGGUGCAAGCGUUAAUCGGAAUUACUGGGCGUAAAGCGCGCGUAGGUGGUUAGUUAAGUUGGAUGUGAAAUCCCCGGGCUCAACCUGGGAACUGCAUUCAAAACUGACUGACUAGAGUAUGGUAGAGGGUGGUGGAAUUUCCUGUGUAGCGGUGAAAUGCGUAGAUAUAGGAAGGAACACCAGUGGCGAAGGCGACCACCUGGACUGAUACUGACACUGAGGUGCGAAAGCGUGGGGAGCAAAC
rnacentral:rRNA from 1 species